GAUGAAGUGCCUGAAAAAAAAGGAUUAUUUUGAUAGAAUAAAAAAUGUAAAUAUAUUUACCUUCAUUU
rnacentral:tRNA from 1 species